rnacentral:rRNA from 1 species
UACGGAGGGUGCAAACGUUGCUCGGAAUUAUUGGGCGUAAAGCGCACGUAGGCGGCUCGUUAAGUCGGAUGUGAAAGCCCUCGGCUCAACCGAGGAAGGGCAUCCGAAACUAGCGAGCUUGAGUACGGAAGAGGGUCUCGGAAUUCCCGGUGUAGAGGUGAAAUUCGUAGAUAUCGGGAGGAACACCAGUGGCGAAGGCGGAGACCUGGGCCGAUACUGACGCUGAGGUGCGAAAGCGUGGGGAGCAAACAGG